AUACGUAGGUGGCAAGCGUUGUCCGGAUUUACUGGGUGUAAAGGGCGCGUAGGCGGGCAUGCAAGUCAGAUGUGAAAUCCAUGGGCUCAACCCAUGAACUGCAUUUGAAACUGUGUUUCUUGAGUGAUGGAGAGGCAGGCGGAAUUCCUAGUGUAGCGGUGAAAUGCGUAGAUAUUAGGAGGAACACCAGUGGCGAAGGCGGCCUGCUGGACAUCAACUGACGCUAAUGCGCGAAAGCGCGGGGAGCAAACAGGAUUAGAUACCCUGGUAGUCCGCGCCGUAAACGAUGAAUACUAGGUGUGGGGGGACUGACCCCUUCCGUGCCGGAGCAAACGCAAUAAGUAUUCCACCUGGGGACUACGGUCGCAAGACUAAA
rnacentral:rRNA from 1 species